AUUAUUAGGUUUUUGUGAGAUUACGAUUGAGGAAUUGUGUUUGGAUUGGCAUCGGGAUUGAUUCAUGGAGAAAUCGAUGAGAGAUUGAGGAAAAUGAUGCCGUAAUUAGCGGUUGAUUGUCGAACGACGUCGUAUGGAGUAGUUUCUUCGAGUGGAUUUUGGCUAUGCUUCCGACAAGUUGAUCCUGAGCAAGUUGUUAGGCGUUGUUCAUCUCGAACGAUAUCUCUACAGAGCUGGUGCAAGUUGCAAGAUCAGGGAAUGUAAGCAGGCAUCUGUGGCAUGAAAAGAAAAAGACGCGGAUAAAAUGAAAAGGAUG